CUUUGCCUUCCCAGAUAUAUUGACAUCGCUGCCUGCUUAAGGGGGACAGCAGUCAGGCAGAAGCCACAUAAUGAUAGCGUUGCUCCAUGCCUGUUUGUUUUCAGAAUUCCUUACUCUUGUUAAUUAGUUAAUGCGCCCAGUGUUAUUAACUGAUCUCAGAACCAUAUCUUUACUCAGAAGGAGCUGAGUUCAUUCAUAUAAAAGUCUGGCUGAGGAGUUUGGGAGGUGGAAAGAAGAGGAAAAGAAAGUCAAAACCCAACUGCAGGAGGAAAGCUUCCGUAUCAGGCCGAGUGACAGAAGCAUUUUCUGUGUAUGCACUAAGGGAAAGGAUCUCUUGAGAUGGCACAUUGGUCCGCAAAGGAGUAAAGAGAUUGGUACUUUCUUUUAUGUUGAGAUCUUUACUGCUCAUUUCUCUAGAGUUAUUCUUUCUUGUUACAGUGUGUAUUAGUUCAUUCUCAUGUUGCUAUAAAGAGAUGCCUGAGACUGGGUAAUUUAUAAGAAAAGAGGUUUAAUUGGCUCCUGGUUCUGCAGGCGAUACAGGAAACAUGGCUGGGGAGGCCUCCGGGAGCUUUUACUUAUAGCAGAAGACAAAGCAGGAGCGAGCAUCUUCACAUGGCCGGAUCAGGAGGAAGGUUGGGGAGGGGGUGCCAUACGCUUUUAAACAACCGGAUCUCAUGAGAAUGCCCUCACCUACAGUAGGAAGAGGGGAUGGUGCUAAACCAUUCAUGAGAACUCUGUCCCCAUGAUCCAAUCACCUCCCACCAAGCCACACCCCAACACUGGGGUUGACAAUUAAACAUGAUGGGGUUGACAAUUGACCAUGGAUGGGGACACAGGUCCAAACUAUACUGCAGUGGCAGAGAAAUCAUAAGCAGUCAGGUUGAUAGAGUAUAACAGAAAGUUCAAAAUGGAAAGAGUAUUUCUUAGGAAAGGGAAUGCCUUAUUCUAUUGCCUUCCAUGGAUUUAUUCUAGAGAAGCCAGGAAGAAAAUGAGAAAACAUCACAUAGGUGUGUUGGAAAGUAAGUUGCCUGAGCAGAUGGCAACAGGGGUAGGGACAAGUCAGCAAAAGUUAUUGAUUAUCCACUGCCUGCAGAGUAUGGGAGACACAGUCAGGGCAGGCUAAGGUGUGAGCCUCCUCAUUCAUUCUUCACAGAAAUAAUCAAGUGGCAGAGAUGGGACAAACACACUAGAAAAGUGUAGCAUCGUUUUAUAUUGCUUCAAAAGGGCAGAAAUUCAUUAAAUAUGUGACAUAAAAUAUCCAGUCAUAAUAUUUAUUGAAAGUCUUCAGAUAAUUUGCUAUAUCUGAUCUGUGCCAUUUCUGAGCACUAUGUGAAAGUUAUUUAAUCACUCUUGAGCCUCAGUUGACACAAUUUGUAAAACAGGAAUUAUGAAGUCAUAGGAUGGUUUAUAUAAAUCCUGUAGCAGUUUUUCCAUACACAUUGAUGAAUGUGUAAAUGAAUGAAUGAAUGAAUUACUUAGCACAGUGCUUGGCACAUAAUACUUAUUAAAUGGAUCUAUUAUUGCUAUGAUGGUAUUAUUUUUGUAAGCCAUUAAAGAAAGUGGAUGAUGUCUCUUCCCUUGUAACAUAACUCUCACAUAUACCCUUGCAACUUUGUCCAUUGAUAUAUCAGUUGAGAAAUGGUUGGAUAAUUUGCAUCCUCACAAUUUUGUAGAGGAGAAUAAAUUAUAAUUAUCACUAACAUUUUCCUGCCUCUGUUUCCUUCAAGGUAUUUGGAGAGAGGCCAGAAAUAAGAGUUUAGAGGUGCCACGUACUUCAAGAAAAGACCAAUUUUCAGUGGGAUUUUGAAUAUACAGCUUGGCACCAAGAAAUAAAGAAAUAAUGUGGAUUACAGAAAUGACCUGAGAGAAACUCAAAAGCUUGGGUUAACCAAUUUGUUUGCUGUAGUUUAGAGUGAGAAAGAGUAACUGGGACUUUCAUAUGAUACAACAGAGUAGAAAAUCUGCAGGGUUCUCAAUGAAUUUCUAUCUGAAAGUUUGCCUAGAAAAUGCAGGGAAAAUGAUAUAUUUCCAUUUAUAGUGCAACUAUUAUAGAUUGACUGAACAAAAGAUCUAUUAUGGCUGAUUAAUUUGGUCAAAUGACAUUAAACGGCUUGCUUUCCUGUUGUAAUUUGCCCGGGUGAAAGAUUUGGUGGCAAAAAUGGUGAAUGAGGAAAAGGCAAGGUGAUGAAAACAGAAAAAAAAAACACCUAACAUUUACCAAAUAUCUGCUAUAAAACAGGCACUGUGCUAGUUACUUUAUAAGAGUUAUCUAAUUUAUCUGCCAUAAUAACCCCAAGUGAUAGUCAAAAACCAGAUUAAUCUGACUCUAAGUCAAUCCUUUUAUUGGUAACCUUUAAUGAGAAAACCUAACUUAUCUAGGGCAGGAACCCCCAGCCCCCGGGCCCUGGACUGGUACCAGUCUGUGGGCUUGUUAGGAACUGGACCACACAGCAGGAGGUGAGCGAGCAUUAUCGCCUAUGCUCCACCUCCUGUCAGAUCAGCAGUGGCAUUAGAGUCUCAGAGGAGCACAAACCCUAUUGUGAAAUGCACGUGUGAGGGAUCUAGAUCGCUUGCCCAUUAUGAGAAUCUAACUAAUGCCUGAUGAUCUAAGGUGAAACAGUUUCAUUCUGAAACCAUCUCCCAACCACCCCAUGUCCCCAUCCGUGGGAAAAUUGUCAUUUAUGAAACCAGUCUCUUGUGCCAAAAAGGUUGGGGACCGCUGAUCUAGGGGUCAGCAAACUACAACCUAUGACCCAAAUCUAGUGCCUGCCUGUUCUUGGAAAUAAAGUUUUAUUGGAAUGCAGCCAUGUCCAUUUAUGUAUCAUCUAUGGCUGCUUUCAUGCUACAAAAGCAGAGUUCAAUUGAUGUGAUAUUCUGUAUGGUCUGGAAAGUCUAAAAUAGCUACUAUACAGCCCUUUACAGAAAGUUUGAUGACAGAAAAAGUUUGACCCCUUUUACUGCCCUGACACUUUGAGCAAGGUCCUCUUUGAGAGUUUCUUCCACAAGAAAACAGAGAUAAUGUUGCUGGCCUUGUCUAAUGUACAGUGUUAUAUGAAAAUUGUACAUAAACUGAAAAAUGGUCUACCAUAUAGUAUUGGUUGCUUUUUCUUCCAACAUGCUGUUAGGAGAAUUUUCAAAUGUAAAACAAAAAAGUGAAAGAAUAUACAAUGAAUGCACACAUACCUGCCCUUAGAUUCUACAAUUAACAUUUUGCUGUAUUUGUUUUAUUACCUAUGUACCCACCUGUCAAUCUCUCUAUGCAUUCAUCAAUUUAUCUUUCUUUUUAUGUAUUUCAAUACAUAGAUGUCAGUAAAAUUCACCCUAAACACAUUAGCUUGCAUGCUGUCAUUAGUUGGAGGUAUUUAUUUACUUUUUUCUUAGGUAAAAUUUACACAUAAUGAAAUACACAAAACUUAAAUGUACCAUUUGAUGAAUGUUGGCAAAAGCAUAUACUUGGUAACACAGACUUUUUUGAGACACAAAACUUUACUAUCACCCCAGAAAAUUUUCUUCCUUCCCAGUCAAUACCCACCUCACUCCACUCCCAGGAGCAACCUCUGUUCUGAUUUUUUUUCACUAUAGAUUAGUUUUGCCUAUUUUAGAACUUCAUGUAAAUGGAACAUACACUAUAUACUCAUUUGAGAAAGGCUUCUUUUACUCAGCAUAAUAUGCUCAGUAACAGUAGGUUUUUUUUUCCUUCUUCUUUAAGAUUAAUUGUAUGAAUACACCACAGUUUGUUUCUCCAUUCACUUGUUAAUUAACAUCUGGGCUGUUUUUAAUUUUUUGUUCCAAAUAAAGCCUUCCAUAAACAUUCUUAUGCACGUGUUCUUGGGCAUAUGUUUUCUAUCUCUUGUGGAAACAUCUAGGUGUGGAAUUGCUAGGUUAUAGGGUAGGUGUUUGUAUUAUUUUAUAAGAAACUGCCAAAUGUUUUUUCCAAGUGGUUGUGCAAUUUCACACCCUCCACUCACAACAUAUUAGAGUUCUGGUUGUUUUACAUCCUUGCCAACAUUUGGUGUUGUCGGUCUUUAAUUUUAGCCUUUCUGGUAGUUGAUAGUAGUAUCUCAUGUCAGAUUUCAUUUGCAUUAGUCCCCAACUUUUUAUGUAUUGACCAAUUUGUAGGUGUCUGUUAAAGUCUAAUGUUCAUUUUUUAACUGGGUUGUUUAUCUUUUUAGUUUUGAUUUGUUGGAGACACUUAUAUUUUCUGGACACUGAUCCUUGGUCGGAUAUAUUCUUGAGAAUAUUUUCUUCCACUUGUGGCCUAUUCAUUUUCUUAACAGUGACCUUUGAAGUACAGAAGCUUUAAAUUUUAACAAAGUCUAACAUACUUUUUUUUUAAAUAUUGUGACUACUAUGUCCUAUAUACUGUCUUAAGAAACGUCUGCCUACCCCAUGUUGUGAAGAUAUUUUCCUAUGUUUUCUUCUAAAUGCUUUAGAGUUUAGUUUUUAUGUCUAGAUGUAUGAUUUUUCUUGGAUUACUUGUAGUGUGUAAAGUAGGAGUUGAGGUUUAUAUUUAUUCAUAUGGGUAUUCUGUUGUUUUACAUGAUUUGUUCAGGUCAUUUUCCUUAUUGAAUUGCUUUGGUGCCUUUGUUGAAAAUAAAUCAAUGAUAUAAGUGCAAGUCUAUUUCCCUUGCAUUGAUCUUUGUGUCUAUCUUAAUGCCAGUACCAUGCUGUCUUGAUUAUUGUUUCUUUCUAUAAUAGUAAAUUUUAAAUUCAGGUAGUGUCACUCUUUCAACUUUGUUAUUAUUUUUAAAGAUUGUUUUGGAUAGUCAAAGUUCUUUAUAUUCACAUACAAGUUUUAUAAUAAGUUUGUCUAUUUUUUAAAAAAAAAAAAUCCUUGUGGUGUUAUGACUGGAUCAUGUUGAAUCUGCAGUUCUGAGGAUAAUUUUCAUUUUAAUAAUAUGGGAUCUUGCAAACUUUGAGUGUAGUAGAUUUCUACCUUAAUGUAGAUCUUUAAUUUCUCUCAGCAAUGAUUAUAGUUCACAAUGUGGAGGAUUUACACAUGUCUUUCAUUAAAUUUAUCCAAAGUGCUUUAUGGUUUUUGGUAUUUUCAAAAGUAGAACUGUUCUUUUUUUAAAAUUUGAUUUUCCAAUCACUUGCAGCCAUCAUACAAAAUACAACUGAUUUCUGUAUGUUGAUCUUGUAUCCUGAAACCAAGCUAAAUACACUUUUUAGUUCUAGGAGUUGUUUCAUAAAUUAUUUAGGCUUUUCUAUGUUAACCAUCAUGUCAUUUGUAAAAAGAGCCAGUUUUGCUCUUCCUCUCCAAUCUUGUGGCUCUCUUUUCUUUGCCUUAGUAUACUGUCUAAGGUCUCCUGUAUAAGGUUGAAUAGAAGUAGUAAGAGUGCCAAUACUCAGGAGAAUGGCGUGAACUCGGGAGGCGGAGCUUGCAGUGAGCCAAGAUUGAGCCACUGCACUCCAGCCUGGGUGACAGAGCGAGACUCUAUCUCAAUAUUUAAAAAAAAAAAAAAA
ensembl:lncRNA